rnacentral:ncRNA from 1 species
UGCUCCGGCGCCGUCGGCGCCUACCCCUCAAGAACCUGAGGGAAAUCACCCCACCAAGCCCCACCCCUCCCGCCCACGGCCCGUGAUCACUCGGGCGAGUGAACAUCCGCCGCUCGGCUGGCUUUUCGAGUCCUCCGCACCUCUACGCUCAGCGCAGCACAACCGAAAAAGACUUCGGCCCCCGCCGGGACGGCAAUCCCAGUGCGAGGGCCUGACCACCAAGGAAGCAGAGACCUUCCCG